rnacentral:rRNA from 1 species
CCGGAAGACCAAGGGUUCCUGUCCAACGUUAAUCGGGGCAGGGUGAGUCGACCCCUAAGGCGAGGCCGAAAGGCGUAGUCGAUGGGAAACAGGUUAAUAUUCCUGUACUUGGUGUUACUGCGAAGGGGGGACGGAGAAGGCUAUGUUGGCCGGGCGACGGUUGUCCCGGUUUAAGCGUGUAGGCUGGUUUUCCAGGCAAAUCCGGAAAACUAAGGCUGAGGCGUGAUGACGAGGCACUACGGUGCUGAAGCAACAAAUGCCCUGCUUCCAGGAAAAGCCUCUAAGCAUCAGGUAACAUCAAAUCGUACCCCAAACCGACACAGGUGGUCAGGUAGAGAAUACCAAGGCGCUUGAGAGAACUCGGGUGAAGGAACUAGGCAAAAUGGUGCCGUAACUUCGGGAGAAGGCACGCUGAUAUGUAGGUGAAGUCCCUCGCGGAUGGAGCUGAAAUCAGUCGAAGAUACCAGCUGGCUGCAACUGUUUAUUAAAAACACAGCACUGUGCAAACACGAAAGUGGACGUAUACGGUGUGACGCCUGCCCGGUGCCGGAAGGUUAAUUGAUGGGGUUAGCGCAAGCGAAGCUCUUGAUCGAAGCCCCGGUAAACGGCGGCCGUAACUAUAACGGUCCUAAGGUAGCGAAAUUCCUUGUCGGGUAAGUUCCGACCUGCACGAAUGGCGUAAUGAUGGCCAGGCUGUCUCCACCCGAGACUCAGUGAAAUUGAACUCGCUGUGAAGAUGCAGUGUACCCGCGGCAAGACGGAAAGACCCCGUGAACCUUUACUAUAGCUUGACACUGAACAUUGAGCCUUGAUGUGUAGGAUAGGUGGGAGGCUUUGAAGUGUGGACGCCAGUCUGCAUGGAGCCGACCUUGAAAUACCACCCUUUAAUGUUUGAUGUUCUAACGUUGACCCGUAAUCCGGGUUGCGGACAGUGUCUGGUGGGUAGUUUGACUGGGGCGGUCUCCUCCUAAAGAGUAACGGAGGAGCACGAAGGUUGGCUAAUCCUGGUCGGACAUCAGGAGGUUAGUGCAAUGGCAUAAGCCAGCUUGACUGCGAGCGUGACGGCGCGAGCAGGUGCGAAAGCAGGUCAUAGUGAUCCGGUGGUUCUGAAUGGAAGGGCCAUCGCUCAACGGAUAAAAGGUACUCCGGGGAUAACAGGCUGAUACCGCCCAAGAGUUCAUAUCGACGGCGGUGUUUGGCACCUCGAUGUCGGCUCAUCACAUCCUGGGGCUGAAGUAGGUCCCAAGGGUAUGGCUGUUCGCCAUUUAAAGUGGUACGCGAGCUGGGUUUAGAACGUCGUGAGACAGUUCGGUCCCUAUCUGCCGUGGGCGCUGGAGAACUGAGGGGGGCUGCUCCUAGUACGAGAGGACCGGAGUGGACGCAUCACUGGUGUUCGGGUUGUCAUGCCAAUGGCACUGCCCGGUAGCUAAAUGCGGAAGAGAUAAGUGCUGAAAGCAUCUAAGCACGAAACUUGCCCCGAGAUGAGUUCUCCCUGACUCCUUGAGAGUCCUGAAGGAACGUUGAAGACGACGACGUUGAUAGGCCGGGUGUGUAAGCGCAGCGAUGCGUUGAGCUAACCGGUACUAAUGAACCGUGAGGCUUAACCUU